rnacentral:misc_RNA from 1 species
AUUACAACAAGUGUUGUAGGGGAAGAAGAAGAAGAAGAAGGCAAAGCAUCAACCAUGGCUGCUUCAUUAGAAGAUGUUCCUUCAGAAAGCCUAAUGUCUGAAGUUCUCCGCCGUCUCAGAUGUUCUUCUAAGCCUGACAAACGUCUCAUUCUCAUAGGUCCACCGGGAUCUGGAAAAGGUACACAAUCUCCUAUCAUAAAGGAUGAAUACUGCUUGUGCCAUUUGGCCACCGGUGAUAUGCUCAGAGCUGCUGUUGCUGCUAAAACUCCACUUGGGAUUAAGGCAAAGGAAGCUAUGAACAAUGGUGAACUUGUGUCGG